CUCGUUUGUGAGUGCGGAGAACGAUGGAUGACUCACGCCGUGCAAUGCAGAUUCUGGAUGGGGAGGUAGGUGAAGGCUCGGCAGGAAGGAAGAGGUGAAAACAAUGGGAUAUGCCUGGCUCCCUGUAUGCCACUCGCGUAGCUGCCAACUCCCCAAACCUUGCGUUGGCUCUACCGCGGAUGGCGUGCGAGGAGCCAAGCAUGACCGUCUCUCUCUCUCUCUCUCUCUCUCUCUCUCUCUCUCUCUCUCUCUCUCUCUCUCUCUCUCUCUCUGUUUGUUGCUUUAGAUUCUUAUACAAACUAACCGCAUCAUGCAUGUGAUGGUAUGUGCAAGCAGCUAGCGAUGAUGGUAGGGAGUACUCCAAGAUCUACACAGUACUUUUGUACGUACGUUUGGCAUAAUCUGUGUCCUUGUGAAUGCAUGGUAAGCAUACGUAAAGUAGAUUUGGUUUCCAGCGUGUAAACAACAAUCUGUAUACUAAUCAAUCUAAGCCUCCUUAAGACCUUAACUGUCUAAGUUCAUAUGCAACCCUCAUCGAGUGCAGCAACUGUUCAGCUGACUAUGUAUUGACCAUUUUUUCUUUGUUUUUUGAAUCGAUCGUCAGUUCAUUUUGUUUUGCUUGUAGUUUGUACGGCGCUGCAGGACGGCAGAUAUGUAUGUACAAGUAUCAUUCAAGCACUUGCAUGGCUCCAUCUCAUUAAUCAUCCAGAUCCCAGAGGGGAUCUACACAUACUUUUCAUGGUGCUGGUCGAUACCUGACCCGGCUGGCGUACAGGCUCCAAUGUCAAUGCAUCUGCGCAUCUAUAUAUCAGCAGAAAAGCUAGAUGUAUAUAUAUAUAGCUCGCUCGUCAGACCAUAUGCAUGCAUUGAUCUUACUUAGUCGUUUGCUCCUGAUCCAGAUGGUCAAAAUCAUGUACACAUUGAGAUUUCACCUUUCUUGUAAGAACAUGUUCUAUAUCCUUGGUGUGUUCCAUUCACGAAUAUUCAAUGAAUUAAGCCGAAAUACUGUACUAGCUUUUCUCAUCUGGAAUGAGAAAAAAAACUACUUGUAUGCUUGUUGUUCUUCCGUACACAAUUCCUUCUUUUUCCUUGAGAGAAGGGCACAUAUUGA
rnacentral:lncRNA from 1 species